rnacentral:rRNA from 1 species
UACAGAGGGUGCGAGCGUUAAUCGGAAUUACUGGGCGUAAAGGGCGCGUAGGCGGCCCGCUAAGUCGAACGUGAAAUCCCCGAGCUCAACUCGGGAACUGCGUCCGAUACUGGCGGGCUUGAAUCCGGGAGAGGGAUGCGGAAUUCCAGGUGUAGCGGUGAAAUGCGUAGAUAUCUGGAGGAACACCGGUGGCGAAGGCGGCAUCCUGGACCGGUAUUGACGCUGAGGCGCGAAAGCUAGGGGAGCAAACGGG